CUAAGAGCGAAUGGUGGAUGCCUUGACUGGUAAAGGCGAUGAAGGACGUACUAGACUGCGAUAAGCUACGGGGAGCUGUCAAGAAGCUUUGAUCCGUAGAUUUCCGAAUGGGGCAACCCAAUGUAUAGAGAUAUACAUUACCUAUAUAGGAGCGAACGAGGGGAAUUGAAACAUCUUAGUACCCUCAGGAAAAGAAAUCAAUAGAGAUUGCGUCAGUAGCGGCGAGCGAAAGCGCAAGAGGGCAAACCCAGUGCUUGCACUGGGGGUUGUAGGACUGCAAUAUGCAAGAGGUAAGUUUAGCAGAACAUUCUGGAAAGUAUAACCAUAGAGGGUGAUAGUCCCGUAUGCGAAAAACAAACCUUAGCUAGCAGUAUCCUGAGUAGGGCGGGACACGAGGAAUCCUGUCUGAAUCCGGGUCGACCACGAUCCAACCCUAAAUACUAAUACCAGAUCGAUAGUGCACAAGUACCGUGAGGGAAAGGUGAAAAGAACUGAGGUGAUCAGAGUGAAAUAGAACCUGAAACCAUUUGCUUACAAUCAUUCAGAGCCCUAUGUAGCAAUACAGGGUGAUGGACUGCCUUUUGCAUAAUGAGCCUGCGAGUUGUGGUGUCUGGCAAGGUUAAGCAAACGCGAAGCCGUAGCGAAAGCGAGUCUGAAUAGGGCGCUUAGUCAGAUGCUGCAGACCCGAAACGAAGUGAUCUAUCCAUGAGCAAGUUGAAGCUAGUGUAAGAACUAGUGGAGGACUGAACCCAUAGGCGUUGAAAAGCCCCGGGAUGACUUGUGGAUAGGGGUGAAAGGCCAAUCAAACUUCGUGAUAGCUGGUUCUCUCCGAAAUAUAUUUAGGUAUAGCGUUGUGUCGUAAUAUAAGGGGGUAGAGCACUGAAUGGGCUAGGGCAUACACCAAUGUACCAAACCCUAUCAAACUCCGAAUACCUUAUAUGUAAUCACAGCAGUCAGGCGGCGAGUGAUAAAAUCCGUCGUCAAGAGGGAAACAACCCAGACUACCAGCUAAGGUCCCUAAGUCUUACUUAAGUGGAAAACGAUGUGAAGUUACUUAAACAACCAGGAGGUUGGCUUAGAAGCAGCCAUCCUUUAAAGAAAGCGUAAUAGCUCACUGGUCUAGUGAUUUUGCGCGGAAAAUAUAACGGGGCUAAAGUAAGUACCGAAGCUGUAGACUUNAAGUGGUAGGAGAGCGUUCUAUUUGCGUCGAAGGUAUACCGGUAAGGAGUGCUGGAGCGAAUAGAAGUGAGCAUGCAGGCAUGAGUAGCGAUAAUUAAUGUGAGAAUCAUUAACGCCGUAAACCCAAGGUUUCCUACGCGAUGCUCGUCAUCGUAGGGUUAGUCGGGUCCUAAGUCGAGUCCGAAAGGGGUAGACGAUGGCAAAUUGGUUAAUAUUCCAAUACCAACAUUAGUGUGCGAUGGAAGGACGCUUAGGGCUAAGGGGGCUAGCGGAUGGAAGUGCUAGUCUAAGGUCGUAGGAGGUUAUACAGGCAAAUCCGUAUAACAAUACUCCGAGAACUGAAAGGCUUUUUGAAGUCUUCGGAUGGAUAGAAGAACCCCUGAUGCCGUCGAGCCAAGAAAAGUUUCUAAGUUUAGCUAAUGUUGCCCGUACCGUAAACCGACACAGGUGGGUGGGAUGAGUAUUCUAAGGCGCGUGGAAGAACUCUCUUUAAGGAACUCUGCAAAAUAGCACCGUAUCUUCGGUAUAAGGUGUGGUUAGCUUUGUAUUAGGAUUUACUCCGAAAGCAAGGAAACUUACAACAAAGAGUCCCUCCCGACUGUUUACCAAAAACACAGCACUCUGCUAACUCGUAAGAGGAUGUAUAGGGUGUGACGCCUGCCCGGUGCUCGAAGGUUAAUUGAUGGGGUUAGCAUUAGCGAAGCUCUUGAUCGAAGCCCGAGUAAACGGCGGCCGUAACUAUAACGGUCCUAAGGUAGCGAAAUUCCUUGUCGGUUAAAUACCGACCUGCAUGAAUGGCGUAACGAGAUGGGAGCUGUCUCAAAGAGGGAUCCAGUGAAAUUGUAGUGGAGGUGAAAAUUCCUCCUACCCGCGGCAAGACGGAAAGACCCCGUGGACCUUUACUACAGCUUGACACUGCUACUUGGAUAAGAAUGUGCAGGAUAGGUGGGAGGCUUUGAGUAUAUGACGCCAGUUGUAUAUGAGCCAUUGUUGAGAUACCACUCUUUCUUAUUUGGGUAGCUAACCAGCUUGAGUUAUCCUCAAGUGGGACAAUGUCUGGUGGGUAGUUUGACUGGGGCGGUCGCCUCCCAAAUAAUAACGGAGGCUUACAAAGGUUGGCUCAGAACGGUUGGAAAUCGUUCGUAGAGUAUAAAGGUAUAAGCCAGCUUAACUGCAAGACAUACAAGUCAAGCAGAGACGAAAGUCGGUCUUAGUGAUCCGGUGGUUCUGUGUGGAAGGGCCAUCGCUCAAAGGAUAAAAGGUACCCCGGGGAUAACAGGCUGAUCUCCCCCAAGAGCUCACAUCGACGGGGAGGUUUGGCACCUCGAUGUCGGCUCAUCGCAUCCUGGGGCUGGAGCAGGUCCCAAGGGUAUGGCUGUUCGCCAUUUAAAGCGGUACGCGAGCUGGGUUCAGAACGUCGUGAGACAGUUCGGUCCCUAUCUGCCGUGGGCGUAAGAAGAUUGAAGAGAUUUGACCCUAGUACGAGAGGACCGGGUUGAACAAACCACUGGUGUAGCUGUUGUUCUGCCAAGAGCAUCGCAGCGUAGCUAAGUUUGGAAAGGAUAAACGCUGAAAGCAUCUAAGCGUGAAGCCAACUCUAAGAUGAAUCUUCUCUAAGCUCUCUAGAAGACUACUAGUUUGAUAGGCUGGGUGUGUAAUGGAUGAAAGUCCUUUAGCUGACCAGUACUAAUAGAGCGUUUGGCUUAUCUUUA
rnacentral:rRNA from 1 species